rnacentral:rRNA from 1 species
CAAUAGCGUAUAUUAAAGUUGUCGCAGUUAAAAAGCUCGUAGUUGGAUUUCUGGUUGAAGCGACCGGUCGGGCGUUGAUUCGUCUGCACUGGAGUCGGUUUUGGCCAUCCUCUAGGAAAGUGCGUCUGGUAUUAAGUUAUCGGGCGUAUGAUCCUGGUCUUUUACUGUGAAAAAAUUAGAGUGUUUAAAGCAGGCCUUCGCCUUGAAUACAUUAGCAUGGAAUAAUAAGAUAGGACUUUGGUCUAUUUUGUUGGUUUGCAGACCGAAGUAAUGAUUAAUAGGGAUAGUUGGGGGUAUUUAUAUUCCGAUGUCAGAGGUGAAAUUCUUAGAUUUUCGGAAGAUAAACUUAUGCGAAAGCAUUUACCAAGGAUGUUUUCAUUAA